rnacentral:rRNA from 1 species
ACAAGUACCGUGAGGGAAAGUUGCAAAGCACUUUGAAGAGAGAGUUAAAGAGGACGUGAAACCGGUGAGGUGGAAACGGAUAGAGUCGGCGUAUCUCUCAAGUAUUCAUUUACAUUAUUUUUAUGUUGUGAUCUCUGAGCUCCAGAUUGGGACAGAAAGAAGCAGCAUAAUUUUCUGUGAUGCAUUUACUUGUUUGGUGCUUGGGGAUGUUUGAGGCAGAUUUGUGUCCGUCGUUUUGAGGCCAGCUUGCUGGUACCCAAACGGUGUUAGCAUUUUUUGUCUUGAACAUUUGAGUAUGGCUUACGGGCAUUUAUUGGUUCGAUCUGAGUGUAAGUUACGGUCGCAUGCGACACGUGCUUUCCAAUUAGUUCGGUCCAGUUAAUGCUCUCGUACUCGUUCCCCAUGUAAAAGCCGGUCAUCUAUCCGACCCGUCUUGAAACACGGACCAAGGAGUUUAUCGUGUGCGCAAGUUUUUGGGUGUUAAAAACCUAAAGGCGAAAUGAAAGUAAAUGGCUCUUUAGAGUCUGAUGUGCGAUCUAGUAAAAAAGUGCAGCAUGGCCCCAUUCUAACUGUUUACAGUAGGGUGGGAGGAAGAGCGUACGCGGUGAGACCCGAAAGAUGGUGAACUAUUCCUGAGCAGGACGAAGCCAGAGGAAACUCUGGUGGAAGUCCGAAGCGGUUCUGACGUGCAAAUCGAUCGUCUGACUAGGGUAUAGGGGCGAAAGACUAAUCGAACCAUCUAGUAGCUGG